rnacentral:misc_RNA from 1 species
GAUGAAGAACGUAGCGAAAUACGAUAAGUAAUGUGAAUUGCAGAAUUCAGUGAAUCAUCGAAUCUUUGAACGCACAUUGCGCCCCUUGGUAUCCCGAGGGGCAUGCCUGUUCGAGCGUCAUUUCACCACUCAAGCCUGGCUUGGUGUUGGGCGACGUCCUCUUUGGGGACGCGCCUCGAAACGCUCGGCGGCGUGGCACCGGCUUUAAGCGUAGCAGAAUCUUUCGCUUUGGAAGUCGGGGCCCCGUCUGCCGGAAGACCUGCUCGCAAGGUUGACCUCGGAUCAGGCAGGGAUACCCGCUGAACUUAAGCAUAUCAAUAAGCGGAGGA